rnacentral:rRNA from 1 species
UGGGGAAUAUUGCACAAUGGGCGAAAGCCUGAUGCAGCAACGCCGCGUGAGUGAUGAAGGCCUUCGGGUUGUAAAGCUCUGUCUUUUGGGACGAUAAUGACGGUACCAAAGGAGGAAGCCACGGCUAACUACGUGCCAGCAGCCGCGGUAAUACGUAGGUGGCAAGCGUUGUCCGGAUUUACUGGGCGUAAAGGAUGCGUAGGCGGAUUUUUAAGUGAGAUGUGAAAUACCCGGGCUUAACUUGGGUGCUGCAUUUCAAACUGGGAAUCUAGAGUGCGGGAGAGGAGAAUGGAAUUCCUAGUGUAGCGGUGAAAUGCGUAGAGAUUAGGAAGAACACCAGUGGCGAAGGCGAUUCUCUGGACCGUAACUGACGCUGAGGCAUGAAAGCGUGGGUAGCAAACAGGAUUAGAUACCCUGGUAGUCCACGCCGUAAACGAUGAGUACUAGGUGUAGGAGGUAUCGACCCCUUCUGUGCCGCAGUUAACACAAUCAAGUACUCCGCCUGGGAAGUACGAUCGCAAGAUUAAAACUCAAAUGAAUUGACGGGGUCAUAGCUGUUUCCU